GUCCAACAUAGCGUAGUCGUUUCAGCGCUGGACUACCACUCUGGAGGCCAGGGUUCGAUUCCCGGUUCAGCCA